rnacentral:lncRNA from 1 species
GAAGAUUUAAUUUUUUGAAUGACACUCUCACAAACUCAUCUACUAUUCACCAAAAAAAAAUGAUCUAAGACUUGCUACUCUAAACAUAGAAGUUCAAAUACAUCUAUAGAAAUAUUACCCUAUAAAAAGUUCUAAUUUGAAAAAACAUUCUGUUUUGAAAAGAUAUUAUACAUACAAUGUACACUACACAGAAACCUCAAAUAGAAAUAUUAUCUCUUGAGUUCGAAUUUCGAAAGUCAAACAUGAAAGUCAUACAAGUUGCUCCUAUGGGCUGGUUGGGCAAUGCACUCAUGUUGUGAUACUCGCAGAUCAUUUGGAUUAUUUACAACAGACAGAGGUAUCGAUCAGCUAUUGCCCCCUCCACGUUUUCUCAUCCAAGCUUGAGACCGGUGAUGGCAGUGUUAAGCAACAAACCUAAAAAUUAUGUCAAAACAAACACAGAGACAACCAACGAUAAUAUCAAAUUAUAACACAACAGAAACCCACGGCCAAGCAUCCACGUUCACAAGCAGCACAUUACGAUCGUCCACUCGCAUUCAUUAUCUACAACAAUGCCCACCCCCUCUUAUCCAUUUAGACAAGCAGUGUGAAGACACAAAAGUUUUCAAAUUAUUAUACGACUAGACAAAAGUAUCCACUCUAAAUUCAAGCAUUUGUAACGGUACUAAGCAGCUUGGAAAGGAAUAUUGAAGGUAAGAAAUUGACUAAUUAAAUA